rnacentral:rRNA from 1 species
UACGUAGGGUGCAAGCGUUGUCCGGAAUUAUUGGGCGUAAAGAGCUUGUAGGCGGUCUGUCGCGUCUGCUGUGAAAAUCCGGGGCUCAACCCCGGACUUGCAGUGGGUACGGGCAGACUAGAGUGUGGUAGGGGAGACUGGAAUUCCUGGUGUAGUGGUGAAAUGCGUAGAGAUGCGGAGGAACACCAGUGGCGAAAGCGGCUUUCUGGUCCUUAACUGACGCUGAGGCGCGAAAGCAUGGGGAGCGAACGGG